ACGGGAGGCAGCAGUGGGGAAUAUUGGACAAUGGGGGGAACCCUGAUCCAGCGACGCCGCGUGAGUGAAGAAGUAUUUCGGUAUGUAAAGCUCUAUCAGCAGGGACGAAAAUGACGGUACCUGACUAAGAAGCCCCGGCUAACUACGUGCCAGCAGCCGCGGUAAUACGUAGGGGGCAAGCGUUAUCCGGAUUUACUGGGUGUAAAGGGAGCGUAGACGGUAGUGCAAGUCUGAAGUGAAAGCUCGCAGCUUAACGGCGGAACUGCUUUGGAAACUGUACAACUAGAGUACCGGAGGGGUAAGCGGAAUUCCUAGUGUAGCGGUGAAAUGCGUAGAUAUUAGGAAGAACACCGGUGGCGAAGGCGGCUUACUGGACGGUAACUGACGUUGAGGCUCGAAAGCGUGGGGAGCAAACAGGAUUAGAUACCCUGGUA
rnacentral:rRNA from 1 species